rnacentral:lncRNA from 1 species
AUGACUUUUUCCUUUUUUUCUUUUUCCAGCUGCCUUUGUGGCAAUUUUGCACUGGUGAUUUUAGCCUUCUGCUAUCGCACACUUGUGGGAAUAAUGAAUUUAUUUGGGUUAGAAACUAAGACCUGCUGGAACGUGACCAGAAUAGAACCUCUAAAUGAAGUUCAAAGCUGUGAAGGAUUGGGAGACCCUGCUUGCUUUUAUGUUGGUGUGAUUUUUAUUUUAAAUGGAAUAAUGAUGGGAUUGUUCUUCAUGUAUGGUGCUUACCUGAGUGGGACUCAACUUGGAGGUAUAAUUACAGUCGUAUGCUACUUUUUCAACCAUGGAGAGGCUACUCGGGUGAUGUGGACACCACCUCUCCGGGAAAGUUUUUCAUAUCCAUUUCUUGUACUUCAGAUGUACAUCUUAACUGUGAUUCUCAGGACAACGAACAAUAGUAGAAGGCACUUUAUUGCACUCUGCCUUUCCAAUGUUGCUUUUAUGCUUCCCUGGCAAUUUGCUCAGUUUAUACUUUUUACACAGAUAGCCUCAUUAUUUCCUAUGUAUAUUGUGGGGUACAUUGAGCCAAACAAGUUUCAAAAGAUAAUUCAUGCGAACAUGAUUUCAGUUUUCCUUUGUUUUGUAUUCAUGUUUGGAAAUCCAAUGUAUUUAUCUUCUUACUAUUCUUCAUCUCUGGUAAUAACGUUGGUGAUAAUUCUAAAGAGAAAUAAAAUUCAAAGAUUUGGAGUAUCUGAACUCCACUUUUGGGUAAUUCAAGGUAGUGCUUGGUUUUUUGGAACAAUCACUUUGAAAUUUCUGACGUCUAAAAUUUUAGGUGUUUCAGACCAUAUUCGCCUGAGUGACCUUAUUGCCGCCAGAAUCUUAAGAUAUACAGAUUUUGAUACCUUAAUUUACACCUGUGCUCCUGAAUUUGACUUCAUGGAAAAAGCGACGCCAGUGCGAUACUUAAAGACAUUGUUGCUUCCAACUAUUGUGGUGAUUACUUAUUUUAUCUUUAAAAAGGCUAUUCGUGAUAUUCAGUGUGUCUUAUGUGCAAACACUUAUCUAAGAAAACAGCUCCUUGAACAUGGUGAGAUAAUUUUUCACACAUUGCAGUUGUUUGCAUUUACUCCCCUUGCCAUUUUAAUUAUGAGGCUGAAGCUCUUUUUGACACCUCACAUGUGUGUUAUGGCUUCCCUGAUAUGUUCUCGGCGGCUCUUUGGCUGGCUUUUUUUCAGAGUUCGUUUUAUGCCUCUUAUCCUCAGUCUUGUAUCAAUAAUGUCAAUACAAGGUUAUGCAAACCUCCAUAAUCAAUGGAGCAUAAUAGGAGAAUUUAAUAAUUUGCCCCAGGAAGAACUGAUACAGUGGAUCAAAUACAAUACCAGGCCAGAUGCUGUUUUUGCUGGUGCCAUGCCUACGAUGGCAAGUGUCAAGCUUUCCACUCUUCACCCCAUUGUGAAUCACCCACAUUAUGAGGAUGCUGACUUGAGGCCCGGUUGCAGUAUGCUUGAAAUUUGGGAUGUGGAAGACCCUUCUAACUCAGCUAACCCUCCCUUAUGUAGCAUCUUGCUAAAGGAUGCGAGGCCAUACUUCACCACAGUGUUUCAGAAUAGUAUGUACAGAGUGUUAAAAGUUAAUUGA